UCUCUUUGGUCUUCCCACAGUCCCAAAACCGAGAUUUUCAUUCCCAUAAAUCUUUUUUUUUCUCUUUGUCGAAGAACAAGAAAUCAGAUUCAGAGAAGUUUCGGAUUCAUUGUAGAAGAAAACGAAGAAGUAUGAGGAGGAAUUGAGAUUUUGAUUUUGGUUUUGUUGAUUUGAUUUGGAAUAAAAAUGGUUCAGGGGAGAAGAUUGCGAGAGAGAGAGAGAGAUUAUAAGAAGGUGAAGAGAUCGGAAAUUGAUAGAGGUGGAUCAUUUGUUGCUGUUAGAAGGAUUUCACAAGGAUUUGAGAGACUGCUAUGGUUAUCAUUCUCCUUCUGAAAGGAGGCAGACAAGGAAGUUCGCAAGGGAAGAAUGCCAACGAUUCCAUGAGUGGCGGGGUUCCUACUAGCAAUCAGAACCAGCAAGCCAUUACUAGUGGCCAGCAGAUUCUACAGUCAAUUGUAGCUCGAGGUUCCAAUGCAAGAAAGGAUAGUAAGGUGUAUCUGAGUAUGUAGAAGCCCCACUUGCGAUUCCCCAAGUAAAUGGAGGUACUGCCCGUCCACGUAAUGGAGUUAUUUCUCGUGAUGAGUGUGAAGAUGAAGACUAUGUAAUGGUGUAUAUGGUUUUGCUGAGUAUGUAGAAGGACCACCUUGGAUUCCCCAAGUCCCUCAUAUCGCCGGCAGUCGACUCAAAGUGGACUAUGCAGGUGUGUUCGAUUUGUGCAGUAAAUUAAUUGGGUACCUCUUUAAAGAGGUCGCAUAUUAUUAGUUGGGUACUUUGUUAACACUGUCGCAUAGUAUUAAUUGGGUACCUCUUUAAAGAGGUCGUAUAUUAUAAUUGGGUACCUGUAAAACAAAUUCGCAUAAUAUAAAUUGGGUACCUUGUUAACACUGUCGCAUAAUUUUAAUUGGGUACCUCUGUAACAUGGUUGCAUAAAUUAGGAUGGCAUCUUAUUUUUCA